GACGAACGCUGGCGGCGUGCUUAACACAUGCAAGUCGAACGGAAAGGCCCUGCUUUUGUGGGGUGCUCGUGUGGCGAACGGGUGAGUAACACGUGAGUAACCUGCCCUUGACUUUCGGAUAACUUCAGGAAACUGGGGCUAAUAUCGGAUAGGAGCUCCUGCUGCAUGGUGGGGGUUGGAAAGUUUCGGCGGUUGGGGAUGGACUCGCGGCUUAUCAGCUUGUUGGUGGGGUAGUGGCUUACCAAGGGUUUGACGGGUAGCCGGCCUGAGAGGGUGACCGGGGACAAUGGGACUGAGAUACGGACCAGACUCCAACGGGAGGCAGCAGUGGGGAAUAUUGCACAAUGGGCGGAAGCCUGAUGCAGAAACGCCGCGUGCGGGAUGACGGCCUUCGGGUUGUAAACAGCUUUCGCCUGUGACGAAGCGUGAGUGACGGUAAUGGGUAAAGAAGCACCGGCUAACUACGUG
rnacentral:rRNA from 1 species